GUCCAGUGAAGUCUGCCACUCCUAGCCAUUGCAGUGUCUGGUAUCUCAACUGGGAAGCAAAAUUGCAAUGCAAGAAUAAAUGGUCUCUAGUUUCUAUUUCUUGCUGGCAUAUAACACUGAUGCCUGGUAUAUUCAGAUUCCAUUGCAGCAGUCUAUUAUUGGUAGGAAGUCCAUCUUGCAGCAACAACCACAAGCUGAAGAUAGCUUUAGGUCUAGCAGCAUUUUGUAUUACCAANN
rnacentral:lncRNA from 1 species